AUUGAACGCUGGCGGCAGGCUUAACACAUGCAAGUCGAGCGAGCGGCGGACGGGUGAGGAAUGUCUGGGACACUGCCUGGUGGAGGGGGAUAACUACUGGAAACGGUAGAUAAUACCGCAAACCAUCAGAUGUGCCCAGAUGGGAUUAGCUAGUAGGUGGGGUAAUGGCUCACCUAGGCGACGAUCCCUAGCUGGUGUGAGAGGAUGACCAGCCACACUGGAACUUAGACACGGUCCAGACGCCUACGGGAGGCAGCAGUGGGGAAUAUUGCACAAUGGGCGCAAGCCUGAUGCAGCCAUGUCGCGUGUGUGAAGAAGGCCUUCGGGUUGUAAAGCACUUUCAGCGAGGAGGCGUUACUCGCAGAAGAAGCACCGGCUAACUCCGUGCCAGCAGCCGCGGUAAUUC
rnacentral:rRNA from 1 species